UUGAUGCAAGCAAAGCAGCUGAUUUUGUAAUCCGUUGCGAGCUUGAGCUCUGCAAGGGAGGGUGUUCACUGCCAUGCUUGGAGGCCAAAACUCGCAAGAGGAGAAACGUCCGAGGCGACGCUUUUGACCUACCGUCACCGCAUGAGGGGGCGUUCUCUCACGAAUCUGUUGGAGGUCUCAUCGAGCUAAAAGAAACUUUACGUCAUGGCAUGAACGCUGAAGAAGGAGCAUUCUUGGUCAUCAAAAGAGAAAAUCAAGAAGGAAUUAAGUCUGGAUGCAGCUUAUCUUGGAGUGUGUUCGUGUCGUUGCUGGCUCUGCUGCUCAUCAUUGCGGCGCUGGCUCUACUCUCAUGUUAUUUGGCUGUUAAACUCAUAAAAGGAGGGAAAUUUUAUAGUACAUAAGAAAGUGAUUAUCCCUAUGAUUGCAAUUUAUUUGGGUCCCCAUUGAGAUGCUCUCAUACCGGUUUGCGUGCCCUGCAGCAUGUGCGUCAGGGUGAUGCAGAUGAUUUGGGGAGACUUCUCAACCACGCUAAAAGAACUUAGGUGUCAGCGUUUCUUAGGCUGUAGACCUGUCAUCGCCUCUUAACAUCGCAUAGCAUCCUUGCGGCCUCGAACUGAACUGUAACCACUGGGCCACCCUCUAUGGGCCUAUUCUCUGGGUCCAAAUAUAUUGGCACUUUUAUUGGUGACUCUAUAACAUUUUCAGAAUUAUCAAGUUUUCGAAGCUGGAAGUUUCUUGUUUAAUAAAGCCCACCUCUCUCUCACAUGCUAUCCCACCUCUCUCACUUCAAGACAAUCCUAUUCCAAUGGCUCAUACCAAAUUCGUUGGAGAUGAAGAUUCGUGUGUCAUUAGCAGAAUACUGUAAGAAAUGUUCGUUUCCACCACCAGUUUCUCAUGACCUGAGACUAAAUGUUUGUUGUAUGAUUUUUCUUCUAUUGACAUUUUAGUUAGCUAUUUAGAAAUAGGUGACAUUGUAGCGAAUUUUUUGGACUACAUAAAACCCUACGAAUUAGCUUUAAUUCUGCUUUUAGUGCUCCGACUAAAGUCUAUUUGUACAUAUGUGUUGUGUGAGUAGCAAUCAACCAAAUUAUCCUCGUUUAUGUGAUUUACGCUAAAGUAAAAUGGCAGAUAAACUUCGUCUUACCGGA